rnacentral:rRNA from 1 species
UGUGUAGGCGGGCAGAUAAGUCAGACGUGAAAAUCUAAAGCUUAACUUUGGACCUGCGUUUGAAACUAUCGGUCUUGAGUACGGGAGAGGAAAGUGGAAUUCCUGGUGUAGCGGUGAAAUGCGUAGAUAUCAGGAGGAACACCGGUGGCGAAGGCGGCUUUCUAGCCCGAUACUGACGCUGAGACACGAAGGCUAGGGGAGCAAACAGGAUUAGAUACCCUGGUAGUCCUAGCGGUAAACGUUGGGCACUAGGUGUUGUCCCUUAACCGGGGCAGUGCCGCAGCUAACGCAUUAAGUGCCCCGCCUGGGGAGUACGACCGCAAGGUUGAA